GGAGUCUAGCAUGUGCGCGAGUCAUUGGGACGAGCGAAACCUAAAGGCGAAAUGAAAGUGAAGGCGCGCCUCGCGCGCGCCGAGGGAGGAUGGGCCGCGCCCGCCGCGGCCCCGCACUCCCGGGGCGUUUCGUUCUCAUCGCGAGAAGAGGCGCACCCAGAGCGUACACGCUGGGACCCGAAAGAUGGUGAACUAUGCCUGGUCAGGACGAAGUCAGGGGAAACCCUGAUGGAGGUCCGUAGCGAUUCUGACGUGCAAAUCGAUCGUCGGAACUGGGUAUAGGGGCGAAAGACUAAUCGAACCAUCUAGUAGCUGGUUCCCUCCGAAGUUUCCCUCAGGAUAGCUGGCGCUCGCUGUGCGAGUCUCAUCCGGUAAAGCGAAUGAUUAGAGGCAUUGGGGUCGAAACGGCCUCAACCUAUUCUCAAACUUUAAAUGGGUGAGAACUCCGGCUUGCUUAAACGGUGAAGCCGCGAGUUUUCAAAUCAAUUAAGGAUCAGGGUGCCAAGUGGGCCACUUUUGGUAAGCAGAACUGGCGCUGUGGGAUGAACCAAACGCAGAGUUAAAGCGCCCAAAUCGACGCUUAUGGGAUACCAUGAAAGGCGUUGGUAACUUAAGACAGCAGGACGGUGGCCAUGGAA
rnacentral:rRNA from 1 species